rnacentral:rRNA from 1 species
AUUGAACGCUGGCGGCAUGCCUUACACAUGCAAGUCGAACGGUAACAGGUCUUCGGAUGCUGACGAGUGGCGAACGGGUGAGUAAUACAUCGGAACGUGCCUAGUAGUGGGGGAUAACUACUCGAAAGAGUGGCUAAUACCGCAUGAGAUCUACGGAUGAAAGCAGGGGAUCGCAAGACCUUGUGCUACGAGAGAGGCCGAUGGCAGAUUAGGUAGUUGGUGGGAUAAAAGCUUACCAAGCCGACGAUCUGUAGCUGGUCUGAGAGGACGAUCAGCCACACUGGGACUGAGACACGGCCCAGACUCCUACGGGAGGCAGCAGUGGGGAAUUUUGGACAAUGGGCGAAAGCCUGAUCCAGCAAUGCCGCGUGCAGGAUGAAGGCCUUCGGGUUGUAAACUGCUUUUGUACGGAACGAAAAGCCCCGGGUUAAUACCCUGGGGUCAUGACGGUACCGUAAGAAUAAGCACCGGCUAACUACGUGCCAGCAGCCGCCGUAC